GCCAGUGUGGCAUAAUGGUUUGAGCAUUUGACUAUCACUGUGAAGACCAGGGAUCGAUUCCCAGCCCAGCCA